UGGGGAAUAUUGCACAAUGGGGGAAACCCUGAUGCAGCGACGCCGCGUGAACGAAGAAGGUAUUCGUAUCGUAAAGUUCUGUCCUAUGGGAAGAUAAUGACAGUACCAUAGAAGAAAGCUCCGGCUAAAUACGUGCCAGCAGCCGCGGUAAUACGUAUGGAGCGAGCGUUGUCCGGAAUUAUUGGGCGUAAAGGGUACGCAGGCGGUUUAAUAAGUCGAAUGUUAAAGAUCGGGGCUCAACCCCGCAAAGCAUUGGAAACUGAUAAACUUGAGUAGUGGAGAGGACAGUGGAAUUCCUAGUGUAGUGGUGAAAUACGUAGAUAUUAGGAGGAAUACCAGUAGCGAAGGCGACUUUCUGGACACAAACUGACGCUGAGGUACGAAAGCGUGGGGAGCAAACAGG
rnacentral:rRNA from 1 species